rnacentral:misc_RNA from 1 species
GAUGAAGAACGCAGUGAAAUGCGAUAAGUAGUGUGAAUUGCAGAAUUCAGUGAAUCAUCGAAUCUUUGAACGCACAUUGCGCCCCUUGGUAUUCCAUGGGGCAUGCCUGUUCGAGCGUCAUUUGUACCUUCAAGCUUUGCUUGGUGUUGGGUGUUUGUCUCGCCUUUGCGUGUAGACUCGCCUAAAAAUAAUUGGCAGCCGGCGUAUUGAUUUCGGAGCGCAGUACAUCUCGCGCUUUGCACUCAUAACGACAGCGUCCAAAAGUACAUUUUACACUCUUGACCUCGGAUCAGGUAGGGAUACCCGCUGAACUUAAGCAUAUCAAUAAGCGGAGGA